AUUGAACGCUGGCGGCAUGCCUUACACAUGCAAGUCGAACGGCAGCACGGGGCAACCUGGUGGCGAGUGGCGAACGGGUGAGUAAUGCAUCGGAACGUACCUUUCAGUGGGGGAUAACGUAGCGAAAGAUACGCUAAUACCGCAUAUUCUGUGAGCAGGAAAGCAGGGGAUCGCAAGACCUUGCGCUGAUUGAGCGGCCGAUGUCAGAUUAGCUAGUUGGUGAGGUAAAGGCUCACCAAGGCGACGAUCUGUAGCGGGUCUGAGAGGAUGAUCCGCCACACUGGGACUGAGACACGGUCCAGACUCCUACGGGAGGCAGCAGUGGGGAAUUUUGGACAAUGGGGGCAACCCUGAUCCAGCCAUGCCGCGUGAGUGAAGAAGGCCUUCGGGUUGUAAAGCUCUUUCGGCCGGGAAGAAAUCGCACGGGCUAAUACCCUGUGUGGAUGACGGUACCGGAAUAAGAAGCACCGGCUAACUACGUGCCAGCCGCCGCGGUAAAAC
rnacentral:rRNA from 1 species